GACGAACGCUGGCGGCGUGCCUAAUACAUGCAAGUCGAACGCUUCUUUCCUCCCGAGUGCUUGCACUCAAUUGGAAAGAGGAGUGGCGGACGGGUGAGUAACACGUGGGUAACCUACCCAUCAGAGGGGGAUAACACUUGGAAACAGGUGCUAAUACCGCAUAACAGUUUAUGCCGCAUGGCAUAAGAGUGAAAGGCGCUUUCGGGUGUCGUUGAUGGAUGGACCCGCGGUGCAUUAGCUAGUUGGUGAGGUAACGGCUCACCAAGGCCACGAUGCAUAGCCGACCUGAGAGGGUGAUCGGCCACACUGGGACUGAGACACGGCCCAGACUCCUACGGGAGGCAGCAGUAGGGAAUCUUCGGCAAUGGACGAAGGUCUGACCGAGCAACGCCGCGUGAGUGAAGAAGGUUUUCGGAUCGUAAAACUCUGUUGUUAGAGAAGAACAAGGACGUUAGUAACUGAACGUCCCCUGACGGUAUCUAACCAGAAAGCCACGGCUAACUACGUG
rnacentral:rRNA from 1 species